rnacentral:ribozyme from 1 species
AAAAGCUAGCAGGAAAAAUGUACACAUUUGAAACUAUUACGUUGAAUCUUCCUUUUUUUCUCUUUUCUUCUUUUGCACUCCUUCUUUUUCUUCUUUUUGAUAAUGAUAAUAUGGUCACU